rnacentral:rRNA from 1 species
GAUCAUGGCUCAGGAUGAACGCUAGCUACAGGCUUAACACAUGCAAGUCGAGGGGCAGCAUGGUCUUAGCUUGCUAAGGCCGAUGGCGACCGGUGCACGGGUGAGUAACACGUAUCCAACCUGCCGUCUACUCUUGGACAGCCUUCUGAAAGGAAGAUUAAUACAAGAUGGCAUCACGAGUCCGCAUGUUCACAUGAUUAAAGGUAUUCCGGUAGACGAUGGGG